CUGGUUGAUCCUGCCAGAGGCCAUUGCUAUUCGGUUUCUACUAAGCCAUGCGAGUCCAGAGUGAUUAUGCACUCGGCGAACUGCUCCGUAAUAUGCAGUCAACCUGCCCUUAGCAGGGAGAUAAUCUCGGGAAACUGAGGCUAAUAUCCCAUAGGCAUUAGGUACUGGAAUGUCCUAAUACCAAAAGCUCAGGCGGCUAAGGAUGGGACUGCACCUGAUUAGGCUGUUGUUGGUAUAAAAAACCAACAAACCGAUAAUCAGUACGGGCUAUGGAAGUAGGAGCCCGGAGAUGGAUUCUGAGACAUGAAUCCAGGUACUACGGUACGCAGCAGGCGAGAAACCUUUUCAAUCUGCUAACGCGGGAAAGGGGGAACCGGAGUGCUCUUGCUUUGCAAGAGCUUUUGCUUUCUGAAAAAAGGAAGGUGAGUAAGGGCUGGGUAACACGGGUGCCAGCCGCCGCGGUAAUACCCGGAGCCCGAGUGAUGGCCGCUAUUAUUGGGUCUAAAGCGUUCGUAGCCGGUUUAACAAGUCCUUAGUGAAAUCUUCCAGUAAACUGGAAGGCGUGCUAGGGAUACUGUUAGACUUGAGACCGGGAGAGGAUAGGGGUACUUUCAGGGUAGGGGUGAAAUCCUAUAAUCCUGAGGGGACCACCUGUGGCGAAGGCGCCUACCUGGAACGGGUCUGACGGUGAGGGACGAAAGCUAGGGGAGCGAUUGGGAUUAGAUACCCCAGUAGUCCUAGCCGUAAACAAUGUCCGCUUGGUGUUGCAAACCUCUCGGGGGUUUGCGGUGCCGGAGCGUAGGUGUUAAGCGGACCACCUGGGAAGUACACUCGCAAGGGUGAAACUUAAGGGAAUUGGCGGGGGAGCACACAAGGGGUGGGCGUUGCGGUUCAAUUGGAUUCAACGCCGGG
rnacentral:rRNA from 1 species